UCUCUCUCUGUAUCUUUCGAAAAAGGUUCGCCCAUUUCUGCCCAUAUCCGCCGCCGCCACCACGACUCUGAAUCUUGCCCCUAGAAUCCGGCGUUUAGUUCGCGUCGUUCCUUUCUUUCCUUCCAUCGCUGGAAAUUCAGGUGGGUCAUUCUCCUAAAACCGAGCCCUCGUUCCUCCAUUAAAGUUGUCGCAACCAUGGCCUUCGAAUUUAUGGUGAGGCCACGCCUCGCCUUCUACGCCGCUCACAAUCGUGUGCCUUUUGGGAAUCGGGAUAAA
rnacentral:lncRNA from 1 species